rnacentral:tRNA from 2 species
AAAAAGAUAAGCUAACUAA